CUGUAAUCUGUCUCUGCACCUGCAGUCAUUGGCUGUGCUCUGGGAGUAUUUCUUCUCUGUGCAGGCGGGGCUCUGACAGUGAUGAAUGUGUGAAAGUAAAUGUGUGCAUAGGUGGAUGAGUGAUCGUGUGAAUGUGCAUAGCUCAGUGUGAGACCUCAUGAUCAUUUUGAACUUUAUAAGUGAAUAGGCAAGCGGGUGUGAGUGGGUGAGCAUGUGAGUGUGCGUGCGCACAUUUGUCCUCAAACAGGGAAGGGACAGGAGGCUGAUAUAACCUAUGGUGAUUUUCCCUUUGCGAUCCAUGGGGGCAGAGGACCUGCAGCUUGUCUUACAGGUACAUGGAUGCCAUGGUCACCAUCACGGUGUGAUCAACACAGGCAGCUACUGCGGACCCUGUGAUGACAUGCAACUGCGAAAUCACAGAAGAGGAGAGCAGGUCUCACUGGCAGGAGACCCUUCUUGGGAGCAGAUGCAUUUCAUCUGGGACCCACUACGUUUUACUGGCUCACACCAGAAGGAAGCAAGGAGUCACAGUCCUGUUUCCAGGCAGGCUGAGCAGUGCAGAGCUCACCCUUCUGGGAGGUCAGCAGAAGUGAGAGGUCCUGUCAGUCAUCGGGCAUCCUGGGCCCCUCACGAGGCACCUGGGCAGGACGAUUUCUCCAGAAGUCUCAGCGCUGCUGAAGGCCACCAAAGCACUCUCCCUACACCAACAUGGACCCCUCUCCUGCACUCACCCUGCCUGCCUCACUUUCCCUGCCUGAUCUAGACCUUGACAGGGAUUAAAAGCCCAGCCUCAAACUGCUCAGGCUCUGCAGUUCAUGUCUGUGUGGCUUCUCUUAAAUCCUACUCUCUAUAUCUAACUUUCCCCCAGGAGAGGAAACCAUGGACGGAACCCACACUCAGUGUGUGUGAACCCUCACCUGUGGGACACUCUCUGGAGAGCUUCCCCAGGCUCCCUCUGUCCUAAAUCUUCAGGAGGCUGUGUCCCAUCACUGUCUUCUUCCCUUCCUCCAGGAUGGGCUCAGCAGUGUCCGUGGCACACGUUGACACCCACAGUACUGAGAGUCCUUAGUGACCCUGAUGCAGGCACGCUAAGCUCCUCGCAGUAAGGGCUGUGCAGCCCACCUCAGGGUGCCCGUGUAACCAGCACAGCGCUUUCACCUCAGGGCCGCAGAUGCACUGCCUGAGCGGAUCUGCUGCAGAUCCAAGCUCUGGAGCUCAGUAGCGCUUUUACAUCGGCUGUGCAUAGAGAGGGCAACACCAGGACCACGGCAGGGGCAGGCGCUAAUUCUGGUUUCCAUAGAAUAAAAAUUACUGUUGUUCAUCCACUUGAGCAUCAUAAAUACAGAGUUCUGGUCCUAUACUCACUCCUAUGUUUUCACUACAAACAUAAAAAUUUCAUUUCUGCAUUCCCGCUGGCUUGAUCCGCCAGUGCUCCCUGCGUGACUGUCCCGUCUGGCAGCUUUAGCACUGUGGGAGAAGUGGCAUAGUCAUGCACGGGACCAUCAUACCCGUAGCACCGGUGGUUCGAGCUGACCAGCGGUGAGAC
rnacentral:lncRNA from 1 species